AAUAGAUACCCCGGUAGUCCAUGCCGUAAACGUUGGGCACUAGGUGUGGGGCUCAUUCCACGAGUUCCGUGCCGCAGCAAACGCAUUAAGUGCCCCGCCUGGGGAGUACGGCCGCAAGGCUAAAACUCAAAGGAAUUGACGGGGGCCCGCACAAGCGGCGGAGCAUGCGGAUUAAUUCGAUGCAACGCGAAGAACCUUACCAAGGCUUGACAUGCACGGGAAGCCACCAGAGAUGGUGGUCUCUUUGGACACUCGUGCACAGGUGGUGCAUGGUUGUCGUCAGCUCGUGUCGUGAGAUGUUGGGUUAAGUCCCGCAACGAGCGCAACCCUCGUCCCAUGUUGCCAGCGGGUUAUGCCGGGGACUCAUGGGAGACUGCCGGGGUCAACUCGGAGGAAGGUGGGGAUGACGUCAAAUCAUCAUGCCCCUUAUGUCUUGGGCUUCACGCAUGCUACAAUGGCUGGUACAAAGGGCUGCGAUACCGUAAGGUGGAGCGAAUACCCAAAAACGCCGGUCUCAGUUCGGAUUGGGGU
rnacentral:rRNA from 1 species